rnacentral:lncRNA from 1 species
GUCAACUGACCUCAUUUGCAUAACUGGCUGGACAAAGGAGGACACAGGCUCUCACCUUCGGGCUGAGACAAGUCCACCGGCCACUACCCCAGCCCCGGCCGCGAAGCAAGACUAACUUUGUAGUCUCAAGCGCCUCUGUGAUCUACAGCUGAGAACGAGAUGUUGUGGGUCGGUUUUGAAGUUCUGAGACAGUGUUAUGCUGCAGCCCAGGCUGACCCUGAUAUGGAGGUCCUACUGCGCCAGUCUCAGUCAGUCCCAGAGUGUUGGGAUUGCAGUUGGACCUCACCACGCCUGGCUGAGAUUACAGUUUGUGUCACUUUCCUCACUGUCUUGUCUGUCCCCCACCCCCACCCCAAUAAUUCAGGUUCACAAGAAUCCCCAUCUAAGGCUCUGCCUCUAGCGAGGCCACCCAGGCCCUAAAUCCCUUCAUUCUUUUGUUUUUCCUUUUUAAAAAUGUAUUCUUCUUUCAUGUAGUACAUCCCAACACAAUUCCCUUCUCCCCCCUCCUGCCAGUCUCCCCCUUUCCCAUUCCUCCAAAUUUACCCCCACCUUCGGAAUUCUUUAUUUCACACACAGUCCAGGAAAUCCUGUGGCUCCUGAGGUUGACAGAAGGUGGGAAGAGGUAAGUCAGCAUGGGUAUGAGGGAUGCCAACCCUGGACCAUCAGGACCUCUCUCUCCCUCCUCUGUUGCUCUGAAAGGCGGGACAGCCAAGUUAUAAACCCAUACAAGAGAUGGGGGAUUGGGAAAACAAAUGACUCUAACCUUCUGAAAGCAUAAGCUGUCAAACUAAAUACUUCCGUUUAUAAGUUGUCUUGGCCAUGAUCUUUUUUUUUUUUUUUUUUGGUUUUUCGAGACAGGGUUUCUCUGUGUAGCCCUGGCUGUCCUGGAACUCACUCUGUAGACCAGGCUGGCCUCGAACUCAGAGAUCCGCCUGCCUCCCGAGUGCUGGGAUUAAAGGCGUGCCCCAUGAUGUGUUUUUACAGAAGUAGAAAAGUAAGACACAGACACGCGCAGAAAGAAGUGUUCGUGCUGGCAUCGGUGACCCAUUGUGACACUGGUGGAUAGAAUGACACCGUUGACAAAGACAAACACGACAUCUACAGCUCGGAGAUGAAUUUAUUUCUGGGUCAAAGGUAGAAGUUGGAUUUGAUCAGAUGGCUCAGAAGCAGCGGCUCUCAACCUGUGGGGCUAGACCACCAGAAAAUGUAGUUCUGGUAGUCUUGGGAACCGAGCCACCACUCAGUAGCAAAAGACAGCUAUGAAGUAGCAAUGAAAAUGAAUUUAUAAACCGGGCGUGGUGGCGCACGCCUUUAAUCCCAGCACUUGGGAGGCAGAGGCAGGCAGAUUUCUCAGUUUGAAGCCAGCCUGGUCUACAGAGUGAGUUCCAAGACAGCCAGGGCUACACAGAGAAAGCCUGUCUCGAAAAACCAAAAAGAAAAAAAAAGAAUAAGAAAAUGAAUUUAUGGUUGGGAGAUUCCUAAGACAAUGGGAAAUAUGUGUUUUCUGAUGGUCGUGACCUGCAGGUUGAGCAACGGCUGGUUCAGUGGGUAAAUUUACCAUACAAACCUGGUAAUCUGAGUUCAAGCCCUGGAACCCAUGCAAAGGAAGAAGAAAAUUGACUCCACCACAAAGCUGGGCUGGAGAGAUGGCUCAGCGGUUAAGAGCACCGACUGCUCUUCCAGAGGUCCUGAGUUCAAAUCCCAGCAACCACAUAGUGGCUGACAAUCAUCUGUAAUGAGAUCUGACACCCUCCUCAAGACUUUCUGAAGACAGCGCUACAGUGAGCGAGCAGGAAAAAGUGUAAAAAAAUAUAAGUAUAAAGUUUCUUCUUGCACAUACACACGUCACCCUCUUCAGACACAGAUUUAAAGUCAAAUUGUGAGGUUGGAGAGCAAGUCUCCUAUGUGAGUGUUAGGAGCCUUUUCUAAUGGCACAAAGACUUGGUCAGACAUUUCUUUCCCAUCUUCUUGCUCAUUCUUAGAGAGGCGCUUCUUAAAUAGAUAUUUUCUUAUACAGGAAUUUCAUUCUUUCUGGAACUGGAAUCUGCUUGGCACUAAAGAUGUGGAUCUUGUGAAAUUCCAGGACCCUACAGAUUUGUUUAAGGAAAGCUUCAGUAAGGCUAAUCACUGCUAUCUCCUUACACCCAUAGUUUGCUUUCCUUUUUUCUUUUGUUAGGUUUUAGACCCAGCAGGUGUAUAUUUAACAUACCAAAGUCCACCUGGUUUCCAGGUUCUUCGGGAAAACCUCAGUCCCUUCCAGCCCUGGGGCGAGGAUGGCACACCCAGAACUUUCCAGCCAAGGGGCUGGGCUUCCCCUUCCCCACAAAGUCACCCCUAUAUAAUCCAGACAUUUUUGGUCCCACCUCCUCUGCAUUUUCUCCCUCCCAAUGUACUCUUUCCCUCCUUGUCUCCCUCCCCAUGGCGACUCUCUGGCCUUGCUCCUCUUGCUUCCCAGUAUACCUGCCUUUAUAGUCUUUAUUUGCCUUGAAUGGGCUCAUUUCACCGGUGGAGAAUAACUUAUCACCUUUACCAUUUCUUCUCACUCACGGUGAAAACAUUCCCGAGACCCUGCUCCAGCCCGACCUUCUUAAAAUGAAAGGCAACCGAAGACCACUUACCAAGAUCACCAGCAGUUAGUGGCAGUCUGGCAGCCAGGCCUCCAGACCUGCAGGUUUUUUGUUGUUGUUGGUUUUUUUUGUUUGUUUGUUUGUUUGUUUUGGUUUUUUCGAGACAGGGUUUCUCUGUGUAGCCCUGGCUGUCCUGGAACUCACUCUGUAGACCAGGCUGGCCUUGAACUCAGAAAUCUGCCUGCCUCUGCCUCCCAAGUGUUGGGAUUAAAGGCGUGUGCCACCACGCCUGGCUGCAGUUCAAAUUUUGAUCUCUGAUAGCUCACUACCGACAUUGGCGUGUCUGACUCCUCAUAUAUUCCUGAUGUUCAUUUCAGGGGCUUGGGGGAAAGAGGGAGCCCCAGGACACCUCCAUCCCCAAAUAAUAGAAGUUUGACAGGGAACAAAUGUUCCCAAAAAGCACAGCGCAGAAGCUGUCUCUCCUUGGCAGCCCAUCAUAAAAUCCACUCCUCCAUCCCUCCCACCCCAGCUUGAACUGUGUGCCUAGGAAAAAGACUCAGGGGAAGAGGACAGGAGGGGCUGUGGGUGGUAGGACUCUCUGGGGAAUUUGGCUCACAGGCCUUCACAUCUAGAAGCAGGUCUCAUCAAAGGGACUCUCUGCAUUCUCUGAGGGUCACACAAAUAAUAAAUUCUUAUCACUCAGCCCAGCCACUCAGCAGGGGAAAAGGCACUUUACCAACUCCUGCCCUGAGAGCUCAGCUAGGGAAAGAGAUUCCUUCAAAAGAAGGGAACGGAGGGGCUGGCGAGAUGGCUCGGUGUUUAAGAGGCCUUGGUCGGUCAUGCAGGGUUUGGUUCCUAGCACCUACAUGGUGGCUCAUAAUCAUCUGUAACUCCAGUGCCAAGGGACCUGAUGCCCUCUACUGGCCUUCCUAGGCACCAGGCACACAUGCGGUGUGCUGACAUACAUGCAGGCAAAGCACCCAUACACAUAGAAUAAAAUGUAAUAUAGAGAGGUGAGGAGGGAGGGGACUGAGAACUUGCUCAGUCUUAAGAGGGCUUCCUUAGCUUCCGCUGUGAUGCUCUGGUUUCAGUUCCCAGCAACACACCACACACAUACACACACACACACACACACACACACACACAGACAGACUCCCCAAAUCAAAUCCCUAUAGAGUCCUAGGAUGACCCCUGUGAUGGUUUAUAUAUUCUUGGGCCAGUGAGUGGCACCAUUUGGAGGUGUGGCCUUGUUGGAAUAGGUGUGACCUGGUUGGAGUAGGUGUGGGUGUGUGCUUAAGAUCCUCACCCUAGUUGCCAGGAGGUCAGUCUUUGGAUGAAGAUGUAGAUCUCUCAGCUCUGCCUGCACCAUGCCUGCCUGGAUACUGCCAUGCUCCCACCUUGAUGAUAAUGGACUGAACCUCUGAACCUGUAAGCCAUCCCCAAUUAAAUGUUGUUUUUAUAAGA